rnacentral:rRNA from 1 species
UACGAAGGGGGCUAGCGUUGCUCGGAAUCACUGGGCGUAAAGGGUGCGUAGGCGGGUCUUUAAGUCAGGGGUGAAAUCCUGGAGCUCAACUCCAGAACUGCCUUUGAUACUGAGGAUCUUGAGUCCGGGAGAGGUGAGUGGAACUGCGAGUGUAGAGGUGAAAUUCGUAGAUAUUCGCAAGAACACCAGUGGCGAAAGCGGCGCACUGGACCAUAACUGACGCUGAGGCGCGAAAGCUAGGGGAGCAAACAGG